AAAAACAAAGCUGAAACUCUCUCUCUCUUUCUCCCUCCUAUCGCCACCGCCAAGGUCCUCCAUCAGUUUCACAAGAACACAAGAUGACGACGUUUCCUUCUGAUUGAAUCAUCUACGAUCCAGAAAAUACAAUCCAUCGGAAACCCUAAAUCAAUCGACGCCGCCACCCCAAUCAUUCGGUUCUUAAUCAACUCCAAAGCCGCCAUUUCAUCUCUGUGUUGCGAUAAGAAUACCUACUAGGUUUACGAUAACAAGUUCUCGAGGUUUGCGAUAAUACAAUUGUUGGGUAAGGCUAAAGAUCUUCAGUUCAUUCCUACGAUAUCGUUAGCGGGUAAUUUAGUUCCACCACUUGACAAUAUAUCUAGGGAUUUUCUUGCUGUUUCAAAUGAAAAUGUCAAUGCAGUUGUCGGUAGAUCGAUGAAUCAUAGUCCUUGUGAGGUACUUGCAACGGAGAUGCGGUGAUGGUGAUGGAAGUUUUAAUUGUUCGGCGCGU